rnacentral:lncRNA from 1 species
UGGUGCUGCUGGACGUAUGUAACCCCUUAAGAGGAAUUUGAUGGAAACCGCUUUUUAAAUCAAUCGCAGAGAAAAUUCGGUUUUCUCCUAGUUGGGAGAGAACUUCAUUUAUUUCAGACGCGUCCUCUUUUUUAGGCACUACCCAUACGGGUGCGUUAUAGGGUGAUCUUGAUUGUCGUAUGAUACCGCCGCCUAAUAAUUUAUUUACUUGCUUUUCAACUUCCUGUUUAAGGCUAAUAGGAUAAAGAAACUAUAGAAGUCUUAAUCAAUAAGGCAGCGAAUAAACUCAUUUUGUAAUUGUGGAUUAUGAAGAUUCGUCUUCAAAACCAAAGGCGCUUCUGCGGAGUAGAAAAGAAGAGUUACUGCCAUGCCAUAAAAGCGACGAAUCGGCAUCAAAUUCUCAUUUAUAUUCUAAAAUUAGUACAAAUUAAAUUAAACACUUAUAGAAAUAAUAAAUUUAAUCAUUAAACAUCGCGUCACAAGAAAAAAUACCUUACUGCUGCAGAGAUUGUUGAAAACGAAAAAAAAUGGAACUAUUAAUAUGUAAAGUAUUGCUAAGUAAUACCAACGAUUGUUAAAAAUAUUAAACUAAAUGAUGGAUAUUAAAAAAAUAUUUGAAUAAAUUUUAUAAAAUCGAAAUAUUGGUUGUUUAUGUCUUACUAGUACUUCUAGCAACAUGUUGCUACAGAGUAGAUGUCGAAAACCUUUAAAGUACCAUAACUGAUAAUUCGGGUGGUGGAGCACGGUGCUCGCUCGUUCCGUUGAUGUGGUUGGCCGUGGGGAAACGGCCGGCGCAAAUGUAUCCACAAAUAUUAAAUAAAAA